CGGAGCCUACGCAGAAUUAGCCUGAAUUGCAUGGUAACUGCCGCUGCUUUAAAAUUUUUAAAAAUUACUCAUAAUUUUCCCAAAGAUUACCAAGAUCUCGAGUGCACAAUGUCAUCAGCGUAAUGAAGAGUAAACAUUUAUGCUAAUAAUCUGCAAUUUUUUUCAUCAGCUAUAAAGACAGAGGCUAUAUAGCCGAAAUUUUCAGUUCUAUUCUGCAAGCUCAGAGAUGCAAAAAGCCUGCGGCGCUCGAGGCGCCUGGUCCUGGGGACCUCUUUCCUUUACUCUUUCUCUCAGGAUAGGAAGAUGGGGCCGGGGAAUUCUUUUUGGUUUUCUGGUUUUGUUUUACUCUGGUUUUGGUAGGUUUUUGCAUUUUCCUAUUUUUCCUGUUUUUUUCCUUUUUCCUUUUUUUUGCCUUUUUUUUUUUUGCCUUUUCUUUCCUGUCAUUCUCCCAGCCAAAAGCCGCCUUCGACCCUUUUGAUUUGAUGUAGCAAAGAGUGUGUGUCCAGAUUAUCUGAAAUUGACACUGAAGAAGCCUUUCCGUUCCUGAGCCCUUGAGGUGGGGCUUUCUCCUAAAACACCUGCUCCAGAGCAGAAUUCGCCAGCCCUCUCUAGGCACGCCAUAUCUCCUACCUAGGCAAGGAUCCCAGGUACCUACCAAGCUACACAGGUGGUCACGCAGGGCCCGGAAGAAGACCAUAAAGGAAAAAGCGUUCCAGGAUUCGCUGGUGGGCUGCCGGCAGACCGGUGUGGCUCAGACCUGGUGACUUUUUGGAGAGGCCGCAGAAUGAGGACAGCAGACACACGAGGACCUUGACUCAGCGCACAGACAGUGCAAAAAGGAGACAAAGACAGACAGAACCGAAAAAAAGAGAGCAUUUUCCCCCUCCUACGUAUUUUUUUCCUGAUAGUCUCACAAAGCUGAGAGUCUGGUCGGGUCCAGCCGGUUGUCUUGUGGCUGGGUCUUCGGUGGCUGUGCCUGCUUUGAGGCCACUUUGCUGUCACGGCGUGGCCCAAACCAGGUUUGGGCGGGGAGUUGGAAACUCGCUGGACCAGACCUCUAGGAACCCCAAGGAGGCGGCAAACCCUCUGUUCCUUUUUUUCCCCCCUUCCUCACCUCGGGGUCCUUCUUCUCCCGGCCCAGGGCAGGAGAAAGGGUGGAUGGACCUGGAGGCGAGAGGGGCCGGGCCAUGGGAGACGGGAAGGAGGCGGGUGAGUGCGAACUGAUAACCUCACAUGAGUUGAGGCUGCUGCAUAGCUUCUUGGUGCGCUGAAGGAUACCAGGAGGUGUAGCUGGGGACGUAGGAGCCUGCGCUGCUGCCGGAGCCCUUCCCAGAGGAGGAGUUCGGAUUCCAGCCGGGUGGCACCGGUGGGGAGCCGGCAGACAAGGCCCUGCCAUUCGCCAGCGCGCUGCCCUCCAGAGCUGCCCCGCCUUGCUUCAUCAGCUUCUUGAACUUGGAGCGUUUGUUCUGGAACCAUAUCUUGACCUGCAAGACCGGGCGACAACGUGACUGGACUGUGACCACCGAGCCUACCCAGGCCUGGGGAGGAGAGAAGGGACUGGUGGAAGAGAAUACCCGCCCUCCUGGCUCUGCCCGAGGCUGGCAGCUCCAGGCUAGAGGGGCAGAGACCACCAUCCCCACCCCCAGUCCCCAUGAGAGCCAAAGGCUAGAAAACUGAUCACCCAAUCCCGCCGCUGCUGAUGGCCCUUAUAGUGCGGUUCUCAAAUAGGAGGGUGGGGGUGGGGUAAGGAGGGCAGGGGAGACCCAGGCCUUGGCUUGCAAGUGGGUCAGUGCCAACCGAGCUGCUGUUUAUGGAAGACCUCUUGCACGCAAAACAAUGCAAUAUCAAUAAAGAAAAUUUAAAACCUAAAUAGGGUUUUAAUAGAAUGGGGGGCGGGUAUCUAUUUACAGUUAGAUCACCUUCCUUUUACCCGAACUUUCUGCCUUUGGAUGAGUUUAAGAACUUGUGGAUGAAGCCACCGAGGGUUUGUGAAACUUUUCUUUAGACUCAAUCCAACUUUUCCCCCGUUAGGUGUGUUCGCUUUCCUAGCUCCAAUCCAAAUCUAGAGGCAGACUUUGGAAACCGGCGUCAAUCCGGUUUGAAUGCCUACGAACUGCCCACAGUGUUAGAGAAAAGCAAGAACAAAAAUCUCAAUAUAUAUAUAUUUGUUCUCUCUCUCUCCAGGAUCUGGGACUUGGGAGGGGAAAGGGCAGAGGGAAGGAUCCUCCUCCGCCACCUCGAGAGAAGGAGGAGGUGGAGGGAGAUUGAGGCUUAGGCCCAGGAUCCUAGUGAUUAGCCACACACUUUAAAGGCAAAGGAGGAUUAAAUUCCCCUUCUAUUGUUCCAGUUGUUCCGGCGCGUGUGACCUCAGAAUCUCCAAACAAAACCAGUUGGGAAAUCCUUCCUGCUCCCAGAUCAGAAGUCCAGGGACCGAAGAGCAGGCGGCCUGCAGUGCUCUUCUCGGAGUCCGCCCCUGGAGGGACAACAGAAGCAGAUACCCGUGUUAAUUCUGGACUGCCUUGAAUGCGGAGGGACGAGAUGACAAGGAUCCAUAGAUUGAUAUCCGAAACCUCUGCUGCUUCCGCGCUUUCCCCACCCCCACCCACCUCUCUCUAUCCCUCUCUGGUCUUCUCUCUUUCCUCCUCCCCUUCUCCCCCUCUCUCCUAGUCUCCUUCCCUUCUCUCCUGGUCCCUGGCAAGCGCACGUACCUGGGU